rnacentral:lncRNA from 10 species
CUUGGCUCCAGGGCCCCCCUCCCUGGACCUCCCUCCUACACAUUCCCCCGGCCCAGGCCCCAGAGGGGAGCUGCUGGUGAGCUCCAGGCCUCAGGGCCUCUCGGGCCCUGCCUCCCUCUAGCCCAAGUCCCGGUUCCCUUGUGCUUCCAGCAUCUGAGGGGCCAAAACUGGAACUGCACCCUCACAGGCCACUGACCUUUGGAAUAGUCCUGCCUCCCAUUUAACAGAUGGGGGAACUGAGGCUUAGAAAGGUACUCAGCCAGUUGUAUCAGAGCCAGGAUCCACACUCAGAUCUGUCCAACUCCUGGCCAGUGCUCUGUCUACGCCGUGAGUGAGUUAUCGUCGGUCGUGAUAAUAGUGUGAGUAAUAAACUGCUCAGUUAGUGAAGUUUUUGGUCUCACGCAGCCCUCUUGCCUGCCCUAGGAGCGGUUCUGACUUUACAGACGAGGAAGCUAAGGCUUAGAGGUGGUGAGAUAACUUUCCCAAGGACACAGCCCGGGAGCAGCAGGGCUGGGAUUUGAACUGUGGUCCGCCUGAUCUGUCUGUUCUGCCAAGCUGUGGGGCAGGAGGGGCCUGUCCUUGAAGGUCUACUCAAAUGCCACCUCCCCUGGGGGGCCCCAGGACCACCUGUAGAUUGUGCUCCCCCAGAGGGGUUCCUUGGGGACAAUGUAGCCCACAGCCUUGCUCUCCAGUGAGGGGGCCCUCAGUUGGUGUUGCCUGGGGGUCUGGCCGUGGGGUUUGGAGGCUGGUGGGUCAACCCUGCUGGUGGGUUGAGCUGGACCAGGAAGUGCUGCUCAGGGGUGAGCACCCUCCAGGGGGCGUGGUGAAGUAGAGGGGAAAUACUCCUGGGCUUGGAGCUGGG